rnacentral:rRNA from 1 species
GACGAACGCUGGCGGCGUGCCUAAUACAUGCAAGUCGAACGCAGUGGGGACGGGUGAGGAAAACGUGGGUAACCUCCCAUCAGAGGGGAUAACACUUGGAAACAGGUGCUAAACCGAUACUGAUGGAUGGACGCGCGGGGCAUUAGCUAGUUGGUGGGGUAACGGCUCACCAAGGCCACGAUGCAUAGCCGACCUGAGAGGGUGAUCGGCCACACUGGGACUGAGACACGGCCCAGACUCCUACGGGAGGCAGCAGUAGGGAAUCUUCGGCAAUGGACGAAAGUCUGACCGAGCAACGCCGCGUGAGUGAAGAAGGUCUUCGGAUCGUAAAGCUCUGUUGUUAGAGAAGCGGUAUCUAACCAGAAAGCCCCGGCUAACUACGUGCCAGCAGCCGCGGUAAUUC